rnacentral:rRNA from 1 species
AACGAACGCUGGCGGCAGGCCUAACACAUGCAAGUCGAGCGAGAACGCCCUUUCGGGGGUUAGUAGAGCGGCGGACGGGUUAGUAACGCGUGGGAACAUACACAACACUGGGGGAUAACUACUGGAAACGGUAGCUAAUACCGCAUACGCCCUACGGGGGAAAGAUUUAUCGGUGUUGGAUUGGCCCGCGUUAGAUUAGCUAGUUGGUGAGGUAAUGGCUCACCAAGGCAACGAUCUAUAGCUGGUUUGAGAGGAUGAUCAGCAACACUGGGACUGAGACACGGCCCAGACUCCUACGGGAGGCAGCAGUGGGGGAAUAUUGCACAAUGGGGAAACCCUGAUGCAGCCAUGCCGCGUGAGUGAAGAAGGCCUUCGGGUUGUAAAACUCUUUCAGAUGUGAGGAUGAUGACGAUAACAUCAGAAGAAGCUCCGGCUAACUUCGUGCCAGCAGCCGCGGUAAU